UACGUAGGUGGCAAGCGUUGUCCGGAAUUAUUGGGCGUAAAGCGCGCGUAGGCGGUUCUUUAAGUCUGAUGUGAAAGCCCACGGCUCAACCGUGGAGGGUCAUUGGAAACUGGGGAACUUGAGUGCAGAAGAGGAAAGUGGAAUUCCAAGUGUAGCGGUGAAAUGCGUAGAGAUUUGGAGGAACACCAGUGGCGAAGGCGACUUUCUGGUCUGUAACUGACACUGAGGCGCGAAAGCGUGGGGAGCAAACAGG
rnacentral:rRNA from 1 species